AUUGAACGCUGGCGGCAGGCCUAACACAUGCAAGUCGAACGGUAACAGGAAGCUGCUUGCUGCUUCGCUGACGAGUGGCGGACGGGUGAGUAAUGUCUGGGAAACUGCCUGAUGGAGGGGGAUAACUACUGGAAACGGUAGCUAAUACCGCAUAACGUCGCAAGACCAAAGAGGGGGACCUUAGGGCCUCUUGCCAUCGGAUGUGCCCAGAUGGGAUUAGCUAGUAGGUGGGGUAACGGCUCACCUAGGCGACGAUCCCUAGCUGGUCUGAGAGGAUGACCAGCCACACUGGAACUGAGACACGGUCCAGACUCCUACGGGAGGCAGCAGUGGGGAAUAUUGCACAAUGGGCGCAAGCCUGAUGCAGCCAUGCCGCGUGUAUGAAGAAGGCCUUCGGGUUGUAAAGUACUUUCAGCGGGGAGGAAGGGAGUAAAGUUAAUACCUUUGCUCAUUGACGUUACCCGCAGAAGAAGCGCCGGCUAACUCCGUG
rnacentral:rRNA from 1 species